UACGUAGGGGGCAAGCGUUGUCCGGAUUUAUUGGGCGUAAAGCGUGCGCAGGCGGUUUUCCAAGACAGAUGUGAAAUCCCCGGGCUCAACCUGGGAAUGGCAUUUGUGACUGGAAGGCUAGAGUGUGUCAGAGGGGGGUAGAAUUCCACGUGUAGCAGUGAAAUGCGUAGAGAUGUGGAGGAAUACCGAUGGCGAAGGCAGCCCCCUGGGAUAACACUGACGCUCAUGCACGAAAGCGUGGGGAGCAAACAGG
rnacentral:rRNA from 1 species